GUUCCUGUAGCGCAAUGAAUACCGCGUUGGACUUCUCAUCCAAAGGUCGUGGGUUUGUGAAUCCCACCUGGGAUU